AUGGCUUUUCUCCAGAGUGCAUUCUUUUGUGUUUCAUUUCCUUCUCCCUCACAGAGAGAUAAGGGAGCAAUGACGCUUCACAGUGUGAGCACUUGUAAGGUCCGGCUUCAGUACAUGGAUUUGAUGGAUAGCUCACUCAGAUGUGCAAGAGUGAAGUUUUGCGUUGCUAUUGUUAUUGUGAAUGAUUCAUCUGUGCAUACUGGCCCUCUUGGAAAUGUGCUAAGGCCCCCUCCCAGCUUCUUGAUUGAGACCCAAAGACUUAUCGUUAUAACUUAAAGAUUUAUUUCUUUGUUUAUUUAUUUAUUUAUUCAUGUUUCUGUUUACUUUUAAUGUGGUUUCAGACAUUUGAACCCCGUUUUCCACCUCUAAGUUUGAAUCAGAUAUCUAAACAUCAUUGUUUUUAUUAGUCUAAACACACAUUUUGAGCACUAAUCCAUCUACCUCUGUGUGCUUUAAGUCACUGCAUCAUUUCCCACGACACACAACAGAUUUCACUUCAAUCCAGUAAAUAUUUGCAUGCUUUUCCCUGGCAGAAGGACAGCAGACCAUGUAAUGGCUCUGUCCUCUCAAGCGCUAGUCGACAGUGAAACCUAAUGGUACGUGCAUAACUUGCAUAAUGUUACAUGCAGACAAAAACAACUAAGAUGGAUACAAACUGGCCAAGAGAGCAACAGAACAGAUGAAAGGUGGACCUGGUCAUCAAUGACUCUUGUUUAUUUCCGUCCAGGCAAGGAAAUGAGUGAUUGGGAUCUCAGAUUAGCGGCACUAAACAGCUGGGAAUGUUUACACAGGAAAUUAGAUGGUGAUUUUCACUUUCUGUCCCCACUGUGCCAUAUGGAGUGAUGCAUUAGGAUUAUUCUGAGGAUGAAUCACAAUUCAAUGCCUCUAUGAAUUUCAGCAAGACGCUCAUGCAUAAAAAUCCAUUCUGUUAUGAUGCAGCCAGAUGCAGUUUCAUGUUUAUUAGUGUGCUAUCUCAUUUUAAAAACCCAUGUUUCUUUAUCCGAAUUAGACAAUUAGACAUUGCACAACCUGCAUCAUGUCCAUCGGAUCCAGUUUUUCCUUCUUUAUACUCUCUCUUUAUACCGCCAUCUGUGCAUUGAAGUCAAUGGCAGCAGAGUGUGCAAAGAUAAGAUGUGAGAGUUUUACAGGUUUUAUUGAACGCUGUACAAACUGGGAAAUCUCAUCCUGAAAUGUGGCAUGACACUUCAGGAGACUCGAUAUGUCACCACAGCAACGGAUCAUCAUCUACACAGCCUGACGGGUCAGAGAACAUCACAUGAACACAGGCCUGACAAAAACACCCAAGGUCAAAGCUCACUGCAGAGGCGUGACAGCACUGAUAAUUAAAUCCACCCACGGUCUUUAAUAUACCAGAGCUUAAAACAUCUUUUGUAGCAGCGAGCUGCAUGUGGUUAGACACAUCUAGGUUUUUAGACUAUCAAGGUUUUGUUCGUUCAGCUGUGAUGGAAUAGUGCUUUUGAAUCUGACGGACAUGAAUAGCUGAAUGAUGGAGAUACAAGAAUAAAAAACCUUGUGAAAUUCUCUGUGAGUUAUAGAAGGUGACACAAAAGUUAAAACAGUACAUGUUGUUGCUAAGACCAUGAAAUCUUUUCAGUCUUUAAAGGGGUAGUUUGAAUUUCUUUCUUUUCUUAAACCUAAAAGAAGAACAUUUUGAAGAAGGUUACUGGUCUCCACUGACUUGUAUGAAAAAAAUACUAUGGAAGUCAAUGGGGAUCAGAAACCAACAUUCUUCAAAAAAUCUUUUUUUAUCUGCAGAAGAAAGAAAACAUGUUUGGAACAAUUUGAGGUUAAUUAAACAAUGACAGAAGUCUCAUUUUUGGGUGAACCCUUUAAAGGAGAAGUCAGUAAUUUUUGCCUAUUAAAAAAGUUUUACCAUUCAUUCAUUAAGAAAUAAACGGCACUUUUGAAAAAUGUUUAAAAUGAUCUACACUCACAUGAAAUGAACACUCCAGUCAUAUCAGUUGCAUAAUAAACGCUGAUUUAUUCUGCUUUGAGCUGGUCACUUCCAAGUUAAGAUCACAUGACCAGCUGAAUUUUCUGACUUUAUCUCAAUAACCUUCCUGUUAUGGAAUGGAAUAAAUUAUGAACAUCUCUUUGUUAAUAGCACAAUGCUACAAAAUAACUAAAAACAUUUCACACCAGAUGUCAGCAUGACUUGUAUCGGCCAA
ensembl:lncRNA